rnacentral:rRNA from 1 species
AUGCAUCGUCAAGUUCCUCCACAAGCUCGACAAGCUCCUCCACAAGCUCAAAAAGAACCUCAAGUUCACCUUGAGCAAGAAGACAAUGGAAAACCUCCAAGACAAGAGCAAGUUGAGGGAGACAAACCUCCUCGUCAAGGACGUCAUGAUCCCCGACCCCAACACAAUGAAGAGCAAAGCUAUGGAAAGAUAAAGUUCACCAUGCCCAAGUUCACCAGAAGCAAUGAUCCCGAAGAGUACCUUUCAUGGGCAUUGAAGGUUGACAAAAUCUUCCGCUUGCACAACUAUGAGGAAGAGAAGAAGAUCAUGAUGGCAUCCCUUGAGUUCCAAGAUUCAUCCUCAUUUGGUGGGAACAAGUCAUUGAGCGUCGAGAGGCAAGAGGUGAACCACCCAUAA